AUGACAUUUCAUUAUCCAUUUCAUAGAGUUGCUUGGUUUUAUUUCAUUUUUAAUCCGUUUUCAUGGUAGAUCUAUAGCAUUUGCAUCAGCAUUGGUGUAUUUUGUACAUGUACACAUAAUAUUUUUCAUAUCACAGCUCGAGUGAGGGCCACACUCGAGCCUCCUUCUUGAUUUAAUAUAAACUUGAUCAGAUUGAGACUUAAAAUAGAUGUGUAAAGCACAUUUCCUUAUUACUACUUAAAUAUAUUACAUUGUAUAUACAAAAUGUACACAAAUUAUGUAUUGGCAAUUCGGACUCAAAUCCGACAGAAAGGAUAACUAGCAAUGAAGUAGCUGGAAAUGAGCUCGAGUGAGGGCCAUACUGUAGCCUGAUGAUCACAAGAGUGAUAUCGUUAUACUCACUCGAGAAUCAUUCUGCUGAAUUUUUGAUUUCAGCCGUAGUGAGGGCUAUACCGUAGCCUGAUGAUCACCAGAGUGAUAUCGUAAUUCACACUAGAGCCUAAUCAGUAGUUAUUAAAUAAUUUUUGAUUUCAGCCGUAGUGAGGGCUAUACCGUAGCCUGAUGAUCACCAGAGUGAUAUCGUAAUUCACACUAGAGCCUAAUCAGUAGUUAUUAAAUAAUAUGUACAUUGCUAAUUAUCCCUUUUUGUUCUUUUCACAGUCACAGUACGGGUGUUGAUUUUUCGUUUUUGUUGACCUGGUUUUUUACCAUGUGUGCGAGGAGCAACAAUGGUAGACUGUCCAUUUGUCGAUGUCAUGUAACCUUGUUUUUGGAUAUGAUGGCGCCUAAAUCGAUUGAAAAGUUUCUGUCUUUGCUGAGUCGUCAUUUGGACAUACUCAGUUUUAGUGACCUGAAACUGGGCAUGGGUUUAGGACAAGCGGAACUCGCCGGACCCAAUAAGGGCACCGCGCAAGUCCUCCAAUUGACCUUUAACAAGGACAGUCUACUUUAUGACAACAAUGGCUAAAGUUGUAUUAUUCGGCGAUAGCUAUAUCAAACGUCUACGAUUUUUUUGCGAAGAUCGAAUAGGCUUACAUGUUCCUUACAAUAUACGUUGGUAUGGAAAAGGCGGUCUGAGAACAGACAGAAUGGAUACAGACUUGUACGGUAGAAUGCUGGAAGAAAAAGCAGAGGUCGUGGUAGUAGCAAUUGGUGGAAAUGACAUCACCGUCACAUCAAGCCCCAAAGAGAUAGUCGGGAGAAUUUGUGAAAUUGUUGAUAAUCUAAAAGAAAAAGGGUGUAAGCACGUGUUCAUUUCGGAAAUAAUGACACGUGGGGAUUUUUCUAAGAGUCCGGGCCUUACUAAACUUUGUUUUGACAGACAACGGGUGAAAAUCAAUAAAUGUUUGGCAAAAAAAUUUAAAAACAAUUUCAUAAGAUUUCCAGACGUCAAAUUUCCGGCAGAUUACGCCAAAGAUCUCGUGCAUUUAGAAAGCAGAAAACCGGGAAACAAUGGAAUGCACAAAUACCAGUGCCGCCUACGCAGAAUAUUGUGUAGUGCAUAAAAACCAACGGUCCUUUUAAGGACCACACAA
rnacentral:lncRNA from 1 species